UUUAAUUUUAUGUAGACAGCUUCAAAUAAAUCUUUUGUAGAAAAAAAGGCAGGAACUUCUUUUUAAUUUUGAUAGAAAAAAAUCUUAACCUGUGUGGGAAAAAAAAAGUAUCUCCCACAGAGUAUCCUUGAAUCUCAUUUAGGAUAUUUUCACAUUCUCAAAGACUGGUCUGCUAGGGCUGGCUUCAAACCAAGAUCCUAAGAUCUCAGCCUCCAGAGUAGCUAGGAACACAGGCAUGAACCAUCCGAACUAAGCUUAGCUUAAACAUCCUAAUUUCCAGCCCCUUUGUUACCUAACUGUCUCUUAAACUGGAGACUCACUGAAAACAUGACCACAAUAAAAUCUCUGGGUUCUAGGCCUAAGUCCUGGUUCUGCCACCCAG